rnacentral:rRNA from 1 species
GAUGAACGCUGACAGAAUGCUUAACACAUGCAAGUCUUUGGCGAAGCUGUGCUUGCACAGCCUAGCCAAGGCGGGCGGGUGAGUAACGCGUAAGGAACUUGCCCUGCAGUCAGGGAUAACAGACGGAAACGACUGAUAAGACCUGGUAAAGUCAGGCGGACUCAUGUCCAGCCUGAUGAAAAGAGAUGCUGCAGGAGAGCCUUGCGUCCUAUUAGCUUGUUGGUGGGGUAACGGCCCACCAAGGCGAUGAUAGGUAGCCGGCCUGAGAGGGUGGACGGCCACAAGGGGACUGAGAUACGGCCCUUACUCCUACGGGAGGCAGCAGUGGGGAAUAUUGGACAAUGGGGGCAACCCUGAUCCAGCAAUUCUGUGUGCACGAUGAAGGUUUUCGGAUUGUAAAGUGCUUUCAGCAGGGAAGAAAAAAAUGACGGUACCUGCAGAAGAAGCGACGGCUAAAUACGUG